GUUGCAGCUGGUUCCCAAGUAUUUGAAUCUUCUCCUACUAGGGUGGGACUACUCCAUUGAAACUAGAGGACACAAGCAAAUGGCCAUGCUGGCAAGAUAUCUAAAUCUAUAGCAAGUUUUAAACUGCAGGGGAUGUGGAGUUAAUAGUUGUGAUGGUGUAGUGAAAUGAUUCAUACGAGUUGGAGAGAAGAAGUGGUUUGCCACUCACCUGCUCCCUAGGAGAUACUUGCUACUCAAUAUGUGUCUGACUGCAUUCCGUUUGUGCUUCAUAUAACUUACCUAUUGCACAUUUUAUAGCCUACUAAAACCUUAAUCGAUGCUUGUAAAGGUCAAUAUUUUCCAUGUUUGCCUCUGGUCAUGAAUCAUGAUUUAAACAAGAAAUAUGAAAAAUAAAUGCUGAAGAACAUG